AGUCGAACGAUGAAGCCCUUCGGGGUGGAUUAGUGGCGAACGGGUGAGUAACACGUGGGCAAUCUGCCCUUCACUCUGGGACAAGCCCUGGAAACGGGGUCUAAUACCGGAUACGACUGCGGAAGGCAUCUUCUGUGGUGGAAAGCUCCGGCGGUGAAGGAUGAGCCCGCGGCCUAUCAGCUUGUUGGUGGGGUAAUGGCCUACCAAGGCGACGACGGGUAGCCGGCCUGAGAGGGCGACCGGCCACACUGGGACUGAGACACGGCCCAGACUCCUACGGGAGGCAGCAGUGGGGAAUAUUGCACAAUGGGCGAAAGCCUGAUGCAGCGACGCCGCGUGAGGGAUGACGGCCUUCGGGUUGUAAACCUCUUUCAGCAGGGAAGAAGCGAAAGUGACGGUACCUGCAGAAGAAGCGCCGGCUAACUACGUGCCAGCAGCCGCGGUAAUACGUAGGGCGCAAGCGUUGUCCGGAAUUAUUGGGCGUAAAGAGCUCGUAGGCGGCUUGUCACGUCGGAUGUGAAAGCCCGAGGCUUAACCUCGGGUCUGCAUUCGAUACGGGCUAGCUAGAGUGUGGUAGGGGAGAUCGGAAUUCCUGGUGUAGCGGUGAAAUGCGCAGAUAUCAGGAGGAA
rnacentral:rRNA from 1 species